ACACAUGCAGUCGAACGAUGAACUUCCUUCGGGAAGGGAUUAGUGGCGAACGGGUGAGUAACACGUGAGAAAUCUGCCCUUCACUCUGGAAUAACUCCGGGAAACCGGAGCUAAUACCGGAUACUCAAAUCUGGCGGCAUCGCUGGAUUUGGAAAGUUUUUCGGUGAGGGAUGAUCUCGCGGCCUAUCAGCCUGUUGGUGAGGUAACGGCUCACCAAGGCUACGACGGGUAACCGGCCUGAGAGGGCGAACGGUCACACUGGGACUGAGACACGGCCCAGACUCCUACGGGAGGCAGCAGUGGGGAAUAUUGGGCAAUGGGCGGAAGCCUGACCCAGCGACGCCGCGUGAGGGAUGAAGGCCUUCGGGUUGUAAACCUCUUUCAGCAGGGAAGAAGCGAAAGUGACGGUACCUGCAGAAGAAGCACCGGCUAACUAUGUGCCAGCAGCCGCGGUAAUACAUAGGGUGCAAGCGUUGUCCGGAAUUAUUGGGCGUAAAGAGCUCGUAGGUGGCUCGUCACGUCGAAUGUGAAACCCUGAGGCUCAACCUCAGGCCUGCAUCCGAUACGGGCGAACUGGAGUGUGGUAGGGGAGACUGGAAUUCCUGGUGUAGCGGUGGAAUGCGCAGAUAUCAGGAGGAACACCAAUGGCGAAGGCAGGUCUCUGGGCCACUACUGACACUGAGGAGCGAAAGCGUGGGGAGCAACAGGAUUAGAUACCCUGGUAGUCCACGCUGUAAACGGUGGGCACUAGUUGUGGGAACCUUCCACGGUUUCUGCGACGCAGCUACGCAUUAGUGCCCGCCUGGGGAGUACGGUCGCA
rnacentral:rRNA from 1 species